CAUCGCAUCAGUGGCGUGAAUAGGAUGAUGAUACAGACAUCAGUGAGUAUCAUCGCAUCAGUGGCAUGAAUAGCAUGAUGAUACAGACAUCAGGCCAGUUCCGGUUCGUGUGUGAGGCCAUCCAUCGUGUCUACACUGAGAAGCUCAUCCAGCCCCUGCCUGAAUACACCUCCAGAUGAUGACACAAGAGCGCUCCAUAGCAUCCGUGAUAAUGAAUUCAUGAAUUUUCAUGACUUCAACAGGACGAGUUUGCUCUGCUCUUCGAUGCCGCUGCAGCAGCUCUUCAAUGCUUUUGGUGUUCAUCAUCGAGCCUUUAACAAAGACCUUCUCAUGCUGGCCUUCAGUGAAGAGCCAAUCUCUGGGCAUUGCUCACUGCCGCCCUCAUGUGCUUUAUUCCUACGUGCAUUAUUUCUUACGAAGGACUAAUUAAUGUUUCUACAAUCCCAUGUGAUCGUGACUUUUACCAAAUGAAUUUGUGUGCGUUCGUCCUUUCUCUUGUACACAAAUCUGGUGUAAAUGUUCCGCAAGCCUAACACUUUUUCCUGUACACCAGAUGCAAUGAAGGAUUUAUACUUGAAGUUUAAAUAUUCCAUGACCCCUUACCUAUUUUACUUAAAACUGGGUAACUCUAGAUUGUAAACAUUUCAGUGUGCCUCUCAUGAACUGGAGUGACCAAUUUUCAAAGCUCAAAAGCGUGUGAACUUCAAAACUGCGACCGUGAGACGGCUGGCAGUAUCGUGGCGUGUAAGCAGUCUCGUGUGACAUCUUUAUGUUGUAAAUUAGUAAAUGAUCAACAAUGGUAGCAGUGUGCUGAUCAUUACAAUGAAUAAGCCAAUAAAAUUACUGUCAGAGUACGGAGCAGUGGUGAUUCAUCUUACAAUUCAAUACAUUUAAUACUACUUUAUUUUUAAGUGAAAUGAAUGUGUUAACAAGAUACCAAGUAAAAUCUGUAUCAGAUUCUUCUGAAACCCACGUGUUUCAUGUAUCAGUUCAGGUAAUAAUUCUUCAUCGUUUUUCGUUAUUUCUCCCUUAUUUUACUUGUGAGCUAAUUUACUGCUUAUCUUAGCAUUUACGUAGUUUACUCUCAAUCUAUUUUGUCUAUAGAUUCUCUCAUAUGAUUUGUUGUAACCAAGUUUUGGUCUUAAUUUGAUUGAGCCAUCCAUUUAAAAAAUGGCAAUGGUUUUAAUCUGCUAUUUAUGAAUGGUGGUGUGAUUUAUUGUUAUGGUAAUCCAAGAAUUGGCAUAAAUGGAAAAAUUAGACAUCCUAGAAUAGCCAUGACUGGCCGAGGCUAAGCGCAGCCUUAGGCUUAAUUCUUUCAGUUUGUGUGAAAUUUCUUCGGAAAAAAUUAUUUCUUUAAGCUUGCACUCCUGCAUUAUGGGCGGGGAUUGAUAUCAUGUAAACUGAUGAUAAUAAAUUAAUUCGUCUUAUCGUUCGGUGGAAUUUAUAGUGCGAUUGACCUGCCUUUUCGCUGCGUUGUGCUGGACGAGGUCGGAAACGACGGUCAAACAAAUCGACAUUAUAAAUGAUUAUUUGUAUUAAGCUUUCCUAUUGUAAGUAACUGUUAUAUACUUGAUAUUGUAUGUCAAUUGUAUUGUACCAUGUGAUCAGCCGCGAUUAGCUAUUGGAAAUGGAAUAUUAUGUUUUUUCAUCGCUUUUCGAACCAUGACUUAGUAAUUUUAUGUACAUCACAAAAAUUGUAUAGUAUUAGUUUAAGGACGAUAAAAUAUUUUGUUUUGAUUCAGGAAUCAGUAUGCAAAUAAUUAUUUAUUAUUUUAAAUGUCUUACUAUUUCCCACGUAGCGGUCUUCCCUUCAUCAUUAUAAUUUAAAAAUAAAUCGCAUAAUUUUUUUACACUAUCAUACGUCUGAUUGCCAGAGGCUCCGGUCAUCUUGGUGAAAGACGUCAAGCGUAGUGUCCUCGCGUCUUUUUUUCAACGUAAUCUUGUAAAAUACAUUGGUUUUGCUACUCAUUUUAUGGCUGCUUAUUUCAUGUUAAUUGGAAAGAGUUCAAUACGAAUAAAGUUUAUUUUCAAGUGUG